UCGGGGCCCCCGACCUUGGAUCCCAGAUCAACUCCACUCAGGAGUGUUGCUGGACUCCACCAGUAUUCCCCUCUGGAAGUGGCCAGGGAAGCCACAGGGUCCUGCUGACCUCAUCACCAACUAAUCGAGUGACUUUGAGUCUGCCACAGAAGACUCUCUCGAACCCGGAGCUCUCUCGGGAUUAAGCAGGGAACCAAGUCUUAGGGGCUGGCCACUUCUGGAAGUCUCUAGAAUCAUGCAUAUUAGCUUCAGCUGGACUUCAGAGACCAUCUAAUUCCAUAUCAUUCACUUGCCCUGGAGAAACUGAGGCAGAAGAAAGCCAUUUGCCCUGGUUCCCCCGACUUCAGGUGGGAAUUAUUUGGGGAGAAAAGAAAGAGUUUGGAGAAUUUGACUCAUGACUCCUGCGUGUUAGGGUGUAAAUUGGGUCAGCCGCUCCCCAGGUCUCACGACCUUCCUCUUCUGACACUCGCCUCGUUCCCAGCCCCCGUGGUGCCAGCCUCGACUGCCGUUUCUGCGUUGAACAUGGAGGUACUUCCUCCUCUAGAUACCGUCUACCCCGGCCACUUCUGGAAUAAUGGGAUAUCGUGAAACCGAAGCACCAGCAUGAGGCAGACAGCAGAGUUGGGAUUGGAGCCGAGGAUCAAGGACCACCUAAGGGGGAGCUUGUGGGUCAUUUCGUAGACAAGGAAACUGGGCCCCACCAGGUGCGCUGCCCUCCCCAGGCUGAGACUGGUUUUACACACGUAUGUUCAAGCAUUAAGUGUUUGCCUCUUAUUAUUAUUUUUUGUUUGUUUGUUUGUUUAGAAGAGAUCUGACUCUGUAUCCUAGGCUCUCACCUUGUACUCCUGGUGCUCCUUCGUCAGUUUCCCUCCUGAGAUAUGACAUUCUAAGCAUAUACUACCACAUUCAACAAUGAUUUUGCCUAUAGCACCUGCUGCGAACCAGCUCUCUGUUAAAAGCUUUUCGGUGUCUCUGUACAUGUGAACUGAAGAGAUAUAGAAUAUAUGCACAUAUUUUUAAA